rnacentral:rRNA from 1 species
GACGAACGCUGGCGGCGUGCUUAACACAUGCAAGUCGAACGAAAAUACCAAGCUUGCUUGGGUGAUUAGUGGCGAACGGGUGAGUAACACGUGAGUAACCUCCCCCUUACUUUUCUGGAUAACUGCACGAAAGGGUAGCUAAUACGGGAUAUUAUCUCCAGCCUGCUUGGGUUGGUUGGAAAUGGUUGUUUUUCUGGUAAGGGAUGGGCGCGCGGCCGAUUGGCUUGUUGGUGGAGUCUUACCCUACCAGGGCUUUGUCGGGUAACGGGCCGGAGGGCGAGGAGGGUUAGACGGGGACUGGGAUACGGCGGAGAAGCGUACGGGCGGGAGCAGUGGGGGGUAUUACACGAGGGGCGCAAGCCUGAUGGAGCGACGCCGGGUGAGGGAGGAAGGCCUUCGGGUUGUAAACCUCUUUCGUCGGAAAACAAGGCACUGGUUUUCUGGUGGUGUUGAGGGUACCUGGAUAAGAAGCGCCGGCUAACUACGUG